rnacentral:rRNA from 1 species
AGAGACCUCAAGCGUUACCCGGAAUUAUUGGGCGUAAAGCGUCCGCAGGCGGUUGAUCAAGUCAGGUAUUAAAUCCCGAAGCUUAACUUCGGGGCUGUGCUUGAAACUAAUCGACUAGAGGGAAGAAGAGGCACGUGGAAUUCCCGGUGUAGGGGUUACAUCCGUUAAUAUCGGGGAGAACACCAUUUGCGAAGGCGACGUGCUGGGCUUCUCCUGACGCUCAGGGACGAAAGCGUGGGUAGCGAAUGGAAUUAGAUACUCCAGUAGUCCACGCCCUAAACGAUGGAUGCUAGACAUGAGAAGUUCGACCCCUUCUAGUGCCCUGAAGCUAACGCGUUAAGCAUCCCGCCUGGGAAGUACGGCCGCAAGGCUA